GCUCCAAUAGCGUAUAUUAAAAUUGUUGCAGUUAAAAAGCUCGUAGUUGAAUUUCUGCUGCAUUGCUUGUGUCCCUCUGUGGUCCGUGCAUGUGGCUUUUUUCGGACGGAGUUUCUUUGUCUGAAUGUUUACUUUGAGAAAAUUAGAGUGCUCAAAGCAGGCUUUCGCCUUGAAUAGUUUAGCAUGGAAUAAUAAAGUAGGACUUUGGUUCUAUUUUGUUGGUUUUAGGUACCAAAGUAAUGGUUAAUAGGAACAGUUGGGGGCAUUCGUAUUUAACUGUCAGAGGUGAAAUUCUUAGAUUUGUUAAAGACGAACUACUGCGAAAGCAUUUGCCAAGGAUGUUUUCAUUAAUCAAGAACGAAAGUUAGGGGAUCGAAGACGAUCAGAUACCGUCGUAGUACUAACCAUAAACUAUGCCGACUAGAGAUUGGAGGUCGUCAGUUUUUACGAC
rnacentral:rRNA from 1 species